UUCUGGGAUUGGUGUUCUCUCUCCGUAGCCGUGAAAUCCUAAAGGAACCAACUUUUGUAUCGGACAAGGCCUAAGAGAUGACCGGGGAUCGCCUUGAGGCUAGGCUUUCUCCGACCGAUGAGGCUACAGCGAACGAUGCUUCUCGGACGAGGCAAAGGAGAAAGAGAAAGUGGGAUCAGCCUGCGGAGCAACUUGUUGCAGCUGGAGUUGCGCUUCCUCGAUUACUCCCUUUAAGCAAUGUUCCUGCUAUCUCCUGCUUAAACAACACAGUUUCUGCGUCUGUGGCGCCAUUUUUCCAAACGCUUUCUUCCCUCCCUCAACAAACUACAUCAGUUCCACAAGUUAAUCAACCUAAGAUCCAAGAUGAGUUGACCAUAGCGCGAGAGAUUGUUAUCAACGAUGCUGAGGCUUCUCUUAGGCACAAGCUUACCAAACGCUCUACUCAAGAAGAAAUUCAGAGGUCUACUGGUGCUGUGGUGAUUACCAGGGGCAAGUACCGUCUUCCAAGUGCACCUCCUGAUGGUGAAAAGCCAUUAUAUCUUCACAUAUCUGCUGCUGCCCAUUUAAAAGAGACUGCAGAGCGUAUUUUAGCCGUUGAUCGUGCAGCAGCUAUGAUUGAGGAGAUGAUGAAACAGAAAACAAACUCACAGGCCGGGUUGGUUGGUUUUCAGACGGUCAAGAUGUUGAGCACAUGCGUGUAUUUGGGUUUUGAAGCUGACCCAUCAUCUAAUGUUGCUGCUCGUAUUCGUGGGCCUAAUGAUCAGUAUAUAAAUCACAUUAUGAAUGAAACAGGAGCAACCGUUGUACUAAGAGGGCGUGGUUCAGGUAGCCUUGAAAACCAACAUAGUGAAGAAGCACUGCAACCAUUGCAUCUACUUUUGUCUAGCAGCAAUCCAAAGAGCAUUGACGAUGCAAAACGUUUAGCUGAGAAUCUUAUGGAUACAAUCAGUGUAGAAUUCGGGGCUUCAAGGGUUUCCUCAAGCAAGGUGUAUGGUGCAGUACCACCACCACAGCAACUGCUUUCUGGAGCUCCGAGUGCUGACAACGAGCAAAAGCCAAGUUUGAGUUCAACAUAUGGUUUGAUGACAUCGCUACCCAUCAUAUCGCCGCCAAAUGCUGUUAAUCCGUUUUCAGUUCCUCCGGCAACAACUCUUUAUCCUCAGUUUCCAGUGUUGCAGCCUCCAGUGAUCUCAAAUGGUGGGCACUUGCGACCAAGUCCAGUCAAUUACUUACAGCCUGUGGCUGGGGGAACUAGCUAUAGUGGGUAUGCCGGAAUAUACCCUCAAGCCACUCCACUGCAACAAGUUGCUCAAGUCCUUAAGCAAUCAAUUUCUCCUGUUAUCUCCACUGUGCCCCCUACUUUGUUGACAGCUACGUCCUUAUCGAAGCCAAGUGAUAUUUCAAAUAAGGAAAAGGAUAGGCGUCCACCCCAAAAGCGAAAGUUUCAGGAGCUACCAGCUGAUUCUAAAGUCCCAGCAAAAGCCAAACAGGUAUUUUUCUGAACUUCUAAGAAGCUAACUAGCUGAUUCUGGACCCGUGGGCCAUUGGUUUGCAUGUUUCACAGGGUAUUCUUAAUAUUGGAGGCACCAUGUGGUUGUUGCAGUCAUUCUUGCUUCGACUUGGCGAUUAGAAUCAGAACCUUAUCCAGACUUUAUGAACGUCUUUUAACAGUCAUGACAUGUCUCCCUUUUCUGCAUGAUGACGUGCAUGUCAUCUUUGCAUAAUCCAAUAUAUCUACGGCAGUUUAGUUCCUUGCAUUUAGGCUGGCAUUAGGCUCCUAUCUAUGGAAGUAUGCGCUUGAUUUAUAGUUUGUAUCUCCAAUCAAUGUAACUUGUUGCAUGAAGUUAGAGAAAAUUAUCAUGAAUUUAACCAAUAUAUACAUAUCUUAGGCGCUGUUGGAACCAAAGAGCUACAUUAUCCUCUGUUCUUUAACUUGUGUCUUUAGGAGUCAGUGAGCUGUGAUUAUUUGGAUGAAAAUGUUAUUUUAUAUAUUUGCAUGGUCACGUUUUAUCUGCCAAAACAUUUAUCUAACUUUUGUAGUGUAAAUGGCGAUGUUCUAUUCCUAUUAUUUGUUGCAGCAGUUGGAGAUAGCAAUGGCAGGUGAAGUUACUCAAAAGAAUAGUAUAGUUGAGCCAUCAGCAAAUGGAGUGCGGUCGCUGCCUUCACCAAGAUCUGUGAUGCCUCCUCCUCCCCCAAAGAUCAUCCCAACAUCAUCGAGAAGCAUGCUUCCUCCACCACCGCGAUUUGCACCAUCAACGCAACCUCCAAGAUUACAGGAAGACUGCAUCACUGUAAAGAAACCAAAUCCAGUUCCAGAUACUUUAGUUAAGCUGAUGGAAUAUGGGGAUGAUGAAGAGGAUGAUGACGAUCCUGACGAGACAUUGAUAAUCAGAUCGUGACAGUUGUAAGUAGCAGUAGAUGAUGGAACCAUCUGAUCUGGCAAAAACAAAAUGCCAAUCUCUAUGUUUGUAACAAUAGAAUUUUUGAGGUCUUGUUUAUUUGACCUCCUACUGACUCUAGCUACUUGUCUUGCCAGGCAGAGAA